GAUGAAGAACGCAGCGAAAUGCGAUACGUAAUGUGAAUUGCAGAAUUCAGUGAAUCAUCGAAUCUUUGAACGCAUAUUGCGCUCUCUGGUAUUCCGGAGAGCAUGCUUGUUUGUGUAUCAGUAAACACCUCAACUUCCAUAUCUUUUUUUGAAAUGGGAGUUGGACUUGAGUGAUCCCAACGCUUUUCCUCACCGAAAAGUGGCGGGUUACUUGAAAUGCAGGUGCAGCUGGACUUUUCUCUGAGCUAUAAGCAUAUCUAUUUAGUCUGCCUAAAAAACAGAUUAUUACCUUUGCUGCAGCUAACAUAAAGGAGAUUAGUUCUUGUGCUGACUGAUGCAGGAUUCACAAAGACAGCUUCGGCCGACUUUGUAAACUCGAUCUCAAAUCAAGUAAGACUACCCGCUGAACUUAAGCAUAUCAAUAAGCGGAGGA
rnacentral:misc_RNA from 1 species